ACUUGCGACAUGUCAUUGGUCUCGUUGGUGACAUAAAUCCUCAGGAUAAAUCAUUUGCCAACGUAUUAGCCUCCAUUGGUGGGGUCUUUUACAUAGUUAAGUUAUCAAUUCAUAUUGUUCUUAUAUCAGAAUUCUUCAUAAAUCAUGUUUCAUAUUCAAAUUUGAUAAAAAAAUAUAUAAUCGUGCAGUAUCAAAAUCAAU
rnacentral:lncRNA from 1 species